rnacentral:rRNA from 1 species
GCACAGGAUGGACCCGCGUCUGAUUAGCUAGUUGGUAAGGUAACGGCUUACCAAGGCGACGAUCAGUAGCCGACCUGAGAGGGUGAUCGGCCACAUUGGAACUGAGACACGGUCCAAACUCCUACGGGAGGCAGCAGUGGGGAAUAUUGCACAAUGGGGGAAACCCUGAUGCAGCGACGCCGCGUGAAGGAAGAAGUAUUUCGGUAUGUAAACUUCUAUCAGCAGGGAAGAAGAUGACGGUACCUGACUAAGAAGCCCGGCUAACUAC